rnacentral:rRNA from 1 species
CAGCCGCCACGGUAAUACGAAGGGGGCUAGCGUUGCUCGGAAUGACUGGGCGUAAAGGGCGCGUAGGCGGCUGACACAGUCAGAUGUGAAAUUCCUGGGCUCAACCUGGGGACUGCAUUUGAGACGUGUUGGCUUGAGUGGAGAAGAGGGUCGUGGAAUUUCCAGUGUAGAGGUGAAAUUCGUAGAUAUUGGAAAAAACACCGGUGGCGAAGGCGGCGACCUGGUCUUUAACUGACGCUGAGGCGCGAAAGCGUGGGGAGCAAACAGGAUUAGAUACCCCCGUAGUCCCUGUCUCUUAUAC